rnacentral:sRNA from 1 species
GAAUGGGAAAUAGCCGACAGCUCGUCCAU